AGAGUUUGAUCCUGGCUCAGGAUGAACGCUAGCUACAGGCUUAACACAUGCAAGUCGAGGGGCAGCAUGAACUUAGCUUGCUAAGUUUGAUGGCGACCGGCGCACGGGUGAGUAACACGUAUCCAACCUUCCGUUUACUCAGGGAUAGCCUUUCGAAAGAAAGAUUAAUACCUGAUAGUAUGGUGAGAUUGCAUGAUAGCACCAUUAAAGAUUUAUUGGUAAACGAUGGGGAUGCGUUCCAUUAGGUAGUAGGCGGGGUAACGGCCCACCUAGCCGACGAUGGAUAGGGGUUCUGAGAGGAAGGUCCCCCACAUUGGAACUGAGACACGGUCCAAACUCCUACGGGAGGCAGCAGUGAGGAAUAUUGGUCAAUGGGCGAGAGCCUGAACCAGCCAAGUAGCGUGAAGGAUGAAGGUCCUACGGAUUGUAAACUUCUUUUAUACGGGAAUAAAGUAUCCUACGUGUAGGAUUUUGUAUGUACCGUAUGAAUAAGCAUCGGCUAACUCCGUGCCAGCAGCCGCGGUAAUACGGAGGAUGCGAGCGUUAUCCGGAUUUAUUGGGUUUAAAGGGAGCGCAGACGGGAGAUUAAGUCAGUUGUGAAAGUUUGCGGCUCAACCGUAAAAUUGCAGUUGAUACUGGUUUCCUUGAGUGCAGUUGAGGCAGGCGGAAUUCGUGGUGUAGCGGUGAAAUGCUUAGAUAUCACGAAGAACUCCGAUUGCGAAGGCAGCCUGCUGGACUGUAACUGACGCUGAUGCUCGAAAGUGUGGGUAUCAAACAGGAUUAGAUACCCUGGUAGUCCACACAGUAAACGAUGAAUACUCGCUGUUUGCGAUAUACGGCAAGCGGCCAAGCGAAAGCGUUAAGUAUUCCACCUGGGGAGUACGCCGGCAACGGUGAAACUCAAAGGAAUUGACGGGGGCCCGCACAAGCGGAGGAACAUGUGGUUUAA
rnacentral:rRNA from 1 species